rnacentral:piRNA from 1 species
UCUUUACCUUCUUGGUCUUUGAAGCCU